UCUAAGAUCGAAUCGGUCACGAAAGUGAUUGACUUUUAAUCUGUGUACAGCUCCAUAAAAGAUUUACAACCGUCGCUGGUUGUGUUAUUUAUAAGGAUAACAUAACCAAAUGUAGUGAUAAUACUUGAGAAAUUAAUGAUAAAGCUUUAAGGAAUUAGCUUUAUCUAUCCGGGGCAACUCGGAUGUUAACCAAUGGUCAAUUAGGCGGAUUUAUUCUUUAUCAGUUAGAAAACUGUUUCAACAACAGUUUUGACAGUAACAAAUUCGGAGAAUUAGUGUUCGAUUCCGGAGAAGGAGCCUGAGAAAUAGCUACUAGUACUAAGGUAUGCAGCAGGCGCGAAACUUACCCAAUAUGAAUACCCACGUGAGGUAGUGAAAAGAAAUAAGCAUCUUUCUUUUAAUAAGAAAGAGUACUGAUUUUUAUCGGUUUACAAUGGUAACGCUUUAGAAUAUCGUUAGAGUAACAAUUGGAGGGAAAGUCAGGUGCCAGCAGCCGCGGUAAUACCUGCUCCAAUAGUGUAUGAUAACAUUGCUGCAGUUAAAACGUUCGUAAUCGCCAUAAGAGUAUAUAAAUUGAAGUCGAUUGCAUCUAAUCCUCUCAAUGCUGUUAUUCUAAUAACUCAUUGUAAGGUCGAAUUUUCGGGGUUCUUUUGAAUUUAUUAGAUCUUUCAUAGCAAUCCUUAGUUUCUUUUUUUAACUUAGGUUUUAAAAAGAGCUAUAGUGACUUGUGAUUUCGACUUAUAUGCUCGUUUUUAACCUGUGAACAAAUUAGGGCGAUUAAAGGAAGAUUAGUGGUGGUAUAUUCCUCACGGAAUUACUAUUUGUGAUGUAAAAUAUUUUAGCACAGAACCAUUUAUUCCAGUUGUAUUUACAGCUGGUUUAGACAAUAGAACCAGGAACAGGUUUUUGGUAUUUAUUGAUGAGGGGUGAAAUCCGUAUAGUCUAUAAGGACCCACGGAGGCGAAAGCGAAAAGCUAGUACUGGUUCAUUGACGAGGAACAAAAGCCAGGGGAGCAAAGAUGAUUAGAUACCGUCGUAGUCCUGGCCGUAAACUAUACAAAUUAGAGAUUGUAUGAAGUCAUAUAAAAGAUUUUUACAGGAUCCCCCGAGAAAUCCUAAAUUUUUGUGUUCUUGGGGGAGUAUAUUCGCAAGAACGAAACUUAAAGGAAUUGACGGAAAUUCACCACCAGGAGUGGAUUCUGCGGCUUAAUUCGACUCAACGCGUGGAAACUUACCAGGACCAGACUAUGGAAAGAUUGACAAGCUAAUGACUUUUCUUGAUUCGUAAAAUAGUGGUGCAUGGUCGUUCUCAGUUCGUGGAUUGGUCUGUCUACUUAAUUGUGAUAACGAGCGAGACCUCCGUUAUUAAUUAGCAACUCCGUUGUUUCUAUUGCUGAAACCGGUAUUUGAGUUUUUUACUCAUCUUCUUAAUAAGACUUUAUUCGAUUAAAUAAAACAGAGUAAGGAAGUUGGAGGCCAUAACAGAUCUGUUAUGCCCUUAUAUAUCCUGGGCGGCACGCGUAAUACAAUGUUUUUGCCAUCAAGUAUGGCAUUUUUUGCCGAACCAAAUUUGUUAAGAUAAGGAAAGCUCCGGCAAUC
rnacentral:rRNA from 1 species